UGAAGCGAGUGAUGGCUGGCAAGCAAGAGUCUAUCUGUCAGGCUGUUUUAAGGGUUUGAAUGCUUGUGCAUUUUUAUAUGGCAGAGCAAAACCAUAUAUAUACAUGUAUAUAUAUAUAUACAUAUAACCAUCUACAUAUAUACGGUUUAAGGGUUUUUUUUCUCCUCUGGCAUCCAUCUUUGAAGCUUUGCCCCACCUCCACUGGAGCUGGGCAGAGGAGGAGCCAGCCCAGCAUUACCUUGUGCCUUUAUUUCACACACAUGGAUGGGAAGAUGCUAAAUGGCAGGAGAAUUCAGUGUUCUUAUGUGUCCAGAUGGGUGCAUGUGGCAGUCCUGCUGCUUGGAGGGAGGAAUCGCAUUUUGCCAGGCUCCAAAGUGUUUGCUCGUUUCUGAGUACUCCAAGCCAGGGUAAGGUGGGAGGAACCCUUCUGGAAAUAAACAGGGUCGUAGUGCUAUUGUAAACCUCCCAUCGUUUUGAGAAGAACUUGGGACAACACUUACUGAAACACAGUGCUGCUACAAGCCUGCAAAGUUACAGUGCACCCACUGCUCUUCCCUGGUGGCCUGAAAAAAUCCCUUUAGACCUCUUUUUGAUAAAGUUGGAGGCCAGCUGUGAUGGUGUGACCUGGAAUCUUUCUGCAGAGGCGUAGGGUGUGCUCUGAUUGAAUCGGGUACUCGUAGAAACACUGAAGGCUGCUGAGACCACCCCUCUAUGAUGUUGAAGUGCAGCUCUGCAUUUAGGUAAACCACUUGUGGUUCUUGUUCUGCUGUCUGCCAGGCAUGCCUCCUCAUCCAAACACAUACAAAACUUGUGCUGUAUUUAAAAAUAAAUGUUCAUUAUGUGCUGGCACCCAUGCUCAUCCAGCUCUCAUUUUAAGGGUAAGAAGUACAUGAUUUUCUCCAAAAGGUAACAGAAGAUUAAUAGUUAAGAAAAUAGCUUUAAAAAGUACCUCCUUUUAAACACCUUUCCAGGUGCUUAUUUUACUGACUGUAUGUGCUCUCAGAUACUCAGGCAGGGACGGUACUUCUGCAUGUGCUGCUGAAAUCAGUCAGAUAAGCAAGUUUAAAGCACAGCAUGUAAGUUCUCCUCUGCACUGCAGGUAGAUGCUAAGCACAGUCCCUGGGGAGCCCUGAGUACAGCCAAGGGCAGCUGGGAAGGGAGAUUUUUAAUUGUUACCUGAGUUCCUUCACAAGUGGUAAUGGUAUGUAAGCCUGGAAAACUUCUGUUUAAUUCUUUGUUGCUGCUAGAGCUUCUUUAUUCUUGCACAGUGAGAAAAUUCACCCUGGCACCACAGAAGGCAAUGUGAAAAUGGCACAUUGCUGCCUUAAAUCCUCUUGUAAAUCAGAACCAUGCUUUGAAAUGUGAGGAGGCUUCUUCCUUGUGUGUCUUCAUCUCCUGCCCCCUUUCCCAGCUGUUCUGCAGUGAGUUUGACAUCUUCCUUCUCGCUGCAUCCAUUCCUACCGCAGGGCUGCUGGGUGAUGCCACCACUGAAUCCUUCUUUCUGAUUGAGGGCGAGUAUUUAGCUGAGUUUUGAUCAUAAUAUCCUAAAAGAGGAGCAACUAUGAAAACUGUAAAGUUAUUUAAAAAUGCAACUGAGCUCCUGGACAUAACAUCCCUGUGAACCUGAAGAGCAUAAGCCGCUUACUUGCUUUGCCAGAUUAGUGGGUUUUGUGCUCUAAAGCUCUGGAGUCCUGAGUGCUAAAUGUGCGAUAGCCAGCACCAGAGUGAGGAAACUCAGUCACAGUCACAGAGAUUAAUGUUCUGUCAGCUCCUGGGUUUGCUGUCCUUUGUAACCAUGACCCACAUGAGGCAACGGAAGCCUUGUAAUAAAGUUCAACUUCUUACCAACACCCCUCUGCGUCACCUGCUUUCCUGUGUCAGCUGCAUUUUUCAGCAGUGGCUUCUACUUACCCUGUCUUGGGACCUUGGUCUAAACUUCCAAAAUACCUUCUUGUGCCUGAACCUAGGGUUUGUAUCAGUUUAUUUUAUAGUUUUCAGGGAAAACAUCCUGGUUUGGGGAGGGAGAGGAGGCAUUCUGUACAGUUCUGUUGCACUGAGCAUCAAGCUAUGUGUUUAAUUCUCUAUAAAACAGUUAAAAAGAAAGCUAUAGUGAUUCUACUCCAGGUUAAAUGCUGUUUUAAAUGCAAGGAGAGAAUUACAGUUGUAGACAGCUUGCAGUUUCACUGUAUUUCAAGUACAAUUUCUCUCAUUUUAUAUCUUUUCUUAAAUAGUAUGCAGAUAUUUCUACACAUAAAUUUUGGGUCAUUAUUGUAUAUACUUCUGAGACAAGGAAGGAAGAGGUAAGACUGUGUUAUGAUGCAGAAGUACAUCUGCACCCUCAACAACAGAAGCAGAAGCUGAGGCCUGACAGAGGCUCAAUUCCUAAGCAAACUCAGCAGAUUUCUCCUGGGACUGGAACAGAGGGGCACAUAGUGAUGGGGAUGAGACAAGGGCUGCACACCAAACUGCACGUGUGCCACCAGUGGCUUUUCAUCCUUGCUGGCACUGGGUUUCUGAAUCUUGUUAAAAGAAAGAGCACUGCGCAUCAUGAGCAUGUAGGCUCCUAGGAAGAAAUAACCUCCCUCUCCAGGAGCUUUGCUGAGAUUUGAGCUGCAGGAGGUGGCUUUGGCUAAUUUAUGGGGAGAGGUAAAUGAAUGGGAAUAUUCUCCAACUUGUAAAGCCUUUGCCACAGGAAUCCCUGGCGGGUCUGAGGCUCUUUGGCAGCAUACAGAGAGUCUUCAAAUGGAUACACAGCAGAUGACUGUGCUUGUGCAUUCAAUGCAUCUUUCAAAAUCUCUGCUAUUAUGUGAUUUUAAACUGAUGCUUUUCAUACCCCAGUGUCUUGGUGUGGUGGGUCCUGCCUGUAUAAUGGAACAGGAUAGUUCUUGGGAAGACCAAAAUAAUGGCAAUAAAAAAGCUGUUUUGCUUGAAUACAGCAGAACACCUAUCUAGAAAGAUAAGCAAUUCUGUUGCAAUCAAUAGAGUUAUGUCUGUGUACCAGUAAUGUGUCAAGUGCAGGACUAUGGUCUUGUGUUGUAUAAUAAUUCUGUUUCAAGCUUUUACAACUGUGACUCUCCAUCUCCUCAGCAGCCACAGAGUAGCACAUUCCAAUGACUGUCACGGAGCUCUGCUGAUUUGAAGUGUUUGCAUGUUGUUUUGCUGAGGAAGAUGAGGACGAGCACUUGGGGGCACUGGGAGUCGGGUGUUGCUCCGCGAGGACGGCAGCUCUGUGAGCAGAGCUGUCCUCUGCCUGCUGGCCUGAGCAGCUUCCCUGGAAAGGUUUAUCAGUUUCCUGCUAACCAGGGAUCAAGGUAUGGGGAUGCAGUGGUGAUCACAGUUUGGAUGAGGCCUUGUCUCUCUUCACCUCUUUUUUCUUAAGUCACCACUCAGUCUGUUCACCAUUUCAAAGAAGGAGCAGAGACAGGCAUGAAACCCAUGGAAGUGCCUUUCUUUUUUUCUGUCUGCAAGUUGAUGACGAUAAUGAUGAUUAUUAUUAGUAGUAGUAUUAUAUAUUUUGUCACUUGCAUGAUAUAUAUCAGAAAUCUGAGCCAAGCAAAGUAAGGAUGAUAAAUACAUUACCACAAGCAAAAUAUAUGGAAUAUUUGCCUUUGUGUUCUUUUAGUUAGCUGUUUUGCACAAAGUAUUUCAACAGAGCAAUUCAUCCUCUUUGGUUACUCUGUAUAACUGUAUUAACAGAGGAUGAAGUAAUGAUUGUUAAUGAUGGGUAAAUGGGUAAAUUACUGUCAAAGCUGGUGAAUCCUAUGUGGUUUUGUUACGCAUUUAAAUUUAUCUGUUGCAUAUUCCUCCACAGGGGACCAAGAGAGAACUGGCCCUUCAGAUCCAAGUAACCAACCACUGUGUGUCUAUUAUCAGCAGAGGUUGUGCUCUACUUAAAAUCUAACUUAUUCCAAAUGUCACUUCCAGAUGAUCCGAAGGGAAGUGCUUACAGGUGCCUGACUUGAGGAGAACAGCAAGGGAAAGGGGAAAGGGCAUUACAUGCAUCCAUCUCAUCAGGAAGUUUUGUCACAUUGUCAAAACCCCAAAAUGUUUGAGCUGCCAAACACAGUUUCUCUUGCCCUCUAAAUCAGUUCAGUAUGCUGUGCAGAAAAGCGCUCUGAACAGCAGUGUCCUUGAAGGACCCAGUACAGCUUGAUUAUUUUUAAUUGAAAAUAAUGAACCAGAUGUUCUGCAUAUACUGGGAAACCCAAAACGCAUCCCUACUGUGGUGGAGCCAGACCUGCGAUGGAUGGAGUGGGAACAUAUGUUGCUGGGACACAUUUUUCCCCUGGAGCUGCCUGGGAUCUCCCUCCCCUCCCUGCGUGUUGUCCUGGGCAUCUGCACCCCAAACCGUUCCCGACCCCAUCCUGCCCUGCGUCACCGCUGACCCCAGUCCCGGUUCCAGGGUGACCCAGCCCUCCGCAGGGCAGAUCCUGCCUCCCUCCCUCUUUGUGCCUGACCUCGCGUACACUCAGAUGUGCUCCACAGUUGUAUUUUGUUUUAUAUACUUAUUUGGAGUCAGAAAAAGCACAAAUGGAAAAACAGCUGCUGUAACAAGUUACCUGACUUGUCCUUUUCCGUGUGGCUUGGCCGCAGCCCCGGCUUGCAGGAGCAGGGCUCAGCGUCCUCCAGCCUCCCCGUCUGGCAUCUGCUCGGCUUUCAGCUGGAGCAGGAUCCAGGCAUUUACAGUGAGGAACAGGGGCUUGUUGGAGAUGCUUGCAUGCAGUAAUGUGCUCAGUGGCUCUCAGUCUAAGAUUUGAAAAAUGCAAAACACCCUGGAAAAACUGCCAGUCUUUGGUACCUAACUCUUUGAUGAUCACGUAGCAAGUGGCUAAUAACUCUAAUAACUUGGGGUUGUUUAAAAGUAUGCUUGUUUCCUCUUCUACUGCUUAGUUAGGAGAAAAAUGAAAUCUGACUUGCCAGCCCUGUUUAGAAAAAUCUUUGUAUACUUCUUUUCUUGUCUGAAUGAUAGUGCUAUUUAUUUCACUCUUUUUACUCUGUUUCAGAUUAAAUAUCCUGGUAUUUAUUGAUUUACUAUUUGAGUCAUUAUAAGGCAAUAAAUUUUCAGGUUCUAGCAAGAAUUAAUCUGCCAAGAUGCAGUUUCACAGAUAAGCUUUCAGUGAGACUUGCUGAAUUAGCUUGCUGGAUCACACGUUGUAUACAAGCAUCGUUUGCACUGAGAUUUAUCUCAGGUGGCAGCAUCUCCUGUCUGCAAUACGAAAGUGGUGCACAGACUUGUGUCACCAAGAAAGGGUGACAGGAAAAGCUGACAAGUGGCCCUAACAUCUCUAAUGUUAAUGUCUGACAAGAAGCCAGGCGCUGGCUGGGGCACUCAUGGUGUGGAGAGGGGAGCGGCUGCCCCAGCGUGAGCACGUUCCCAGCACCUGCAGCACUGGGCGAUGGUCAUGGAGGGUUCUGGAGCACGGAGGUUAUGUUAGAGCUAAAACACAUGUGAGAAUUUUAAGGCCCAAAUAGCAACAUGAAUAAUUUUGGUACAUAACUGUUAUGUUCAAAUGCAUGUAUAAUAAUUUAUACUAUAAAAACACAUUAUAAAUUUCCAUGUACAUCUGUGGUGUAUACAGCUUUAACACCUUUGCUCUAGUCUUCUGUGUGAAAAUGCACAAGCUACUCUGUGAACUUCAGCUGAUCUGUGGUCCUUCCUCUAGACAUCAAGUAUAUUGUUUAAUUUUUUUGGACAGUACACACAUCACUGAUGGGCACUUCAUAAAUAUAGCUAAAUCCAUCCUGGCAGGCUUCAUCUUUAAUUUUAUGAUGUGGUUUUUCUGUCUCAGAUGACUACAUUUUUUCCUAACUGUUUUAACAAAAGCAUCCAGCAUGAUUCAGGUUUCUUCUCUUAGCAAUUGUACUUGUUGUGCAUUCAAAUUAACCAACUCUGCCAUCUGGAGAGCUGUACAGUGCUCUUGAAGCAGCAGGUGAGAUGCUUUAAUCUGAGAUUCCCAUUAGAAGGCUGGUGCAAUCACUCCGUCUGACUUCUUAACACAUAUAUGUGGAUUUUUGCUCCUCCCUGUGAUCAGGAGUGACUCACUGACUGCAACUUCCCUGAAUGGCUCUGGAGAAGCUGCCUGCUUGUCUGUGGUACUUGCUCUGCUUCUGUCUCUCUCCUAGGGUGAUUGAUGGGCUGGUACCCGCCCAGCUCCUCCUAAGCCUGGCUCUACCUGAGCCUGGCUCUAAGGGCUGGCAAAGGCGUGGAGCAGUUGUGCCCUCCCCACAGGAUUGUCCCACAUGGCCUCAGCACUCAAGAGCUGGCAGAAGCAACUUGCUGAAGAGGUGUUACAGUUUUGAUCAGUCUCUUGGUGCUCAUAGAGCCAAAGGUUUUACUGUUUUUUUUGGUCUGUGCGGUUUUUGUUUUGUUUUCCUGUGUUUCACUUUCCUCCCUUUGCACGCUCUCUUUUAAGAAGCUUGGAAAGCGUAAACAUUCAGAAACAGCUGAAGCUGCUGGGUGAGAAGAAAACCUUAUCAGUGAUCAAUUUGAGUGGGAAUAACAGAGAGUUGUUGGUGGGAGGUCAAGGCUACAGUGCGUCAUGUCUAACUAGCCUGUUUACCUUCUGCAGUUAUUUCAGAAUGUUUCUUCACUUUUUUUUUACGUGGAAAAUCUGGGGGUGGUUCUUUCCUUUCUGCUUGUAAUCUCUGGGUUUAGUUAAACCCACAAAAAUGCUGAAAGAAAUUGCUUAAUCCCACUGAAGUCUGUCAUCAUCUUUCAACUUGAUAUAAAUUUUUGUUUGAUUUUGGAUGAAACUGCCAUUUAAAGUAUUUUUUAGGCCAUGACAGAAGAUGGUAUGUGUCUAUCUGAUGGAAAAGUUUUUAAUAAGUACAACUAACAUAUUGCAAAACGAGUGUCCUGCGCAUUCAGUUUUUAGGGGUAUGUCAAGGAAAUGUCCUAGAGGGUUGGGCUGAGCAGGCUCUGUCUGCUGCACUCAAGCUAGUACAGGUUUCACUACACAUGACUACUAAGAUUACAUAUCUGUGAGGGUUUUGCUUUCUGCUGUACUAGCCUUUUAUAUAUCAAAGAUCUCACUUUUAGUGCAAAGCUCAACUUCCCAGCUUUAUGGCACUGCUGCAGCCUGCUCCAAAGGAGAUACUUACUAUGGUCUCCCUUGUCAAUUCUUUUAAAAUCACCUUUCUUUGAAAAUAUAUGUUGUGUUCUGGUGGUUACAGGUUUGGCCAUUACCUGUUCAUGUACUUGGCAGGACAAGAGGUGAAGCAGAAUAAAAUAGAUUUAUAGAUGUAUAUAAGCCCUGGCUUUCCAGAAGAGUUAUUGGUAAGAACUGCAUUUUUUUAGCCAAAAUGUCCAUGACUCAGCAUCCAUCAUGGAUCUCUGGAAGCCAUUGUCAUACCUGUCAAACUUUUUAGUUUCUUCCACCCUGCAAAUCUCCUGAACUGCUGUUGUACAAACAGCCUUUUAAUUAGAACUUUCUUACAAGUCUGCUAAUUAUUAAAAGGGCCAUCUGUACUAUCUGAAUAAGCACAGAUCUCCUUCCCUUUUCCUUCCAAAAGACCUGCUUGUAACUGUGGCAGAUAUUUGUGUUCAAGCCAUCACCUAAUCUAGAAAAAUGAGAUCUUUUUUACAUAGCACUUACGUCCUUGUGACUGUAUUUCAGACUCAUAGCUGACACUGAGCGGAACUUGCUGUUGAACUCUCUAUCUAGCAGCCUGAAAACAUCUGGUUUCUUGUGACUGAACUGAAUAAGGAGCAAAUUCAGUAUUUUUUGUUCUUAACAAGCUUUAGCACAAAUUCUGAGAAACCUCUAUAUCUUUCAUGUUCUGAAUGUGGUCAUGAACAUUCCUUGGGUAUAGCAGAAUACCCAUCUACAUCUAUAACAGGUUUCCCGUGCUUUUUGUCAGUUGAAGCUCUAAUGAUAAGAAGGCAACAUGGUGUAGUGUACCAGGCUGGGAAGGCACGUCUUGAAUGGAAAGCUUGUGUCUGUUGGUGGCAGAUGCUGUACAGAAGAUUAGUUAAGUUGAGCUGCUUCAGAAGUUACCCUCGCUAUUUCUUGAGAGGAAGUGUUUCUUUUUUAAAAAAAUAAAAAAAAUAAAAUCCAACACUUGAUUUGAGGAAACAGGGGAAUUCAAUUCUCCAUCAAGGAAGUCAGUAGGAGACAUUUCCUGUGGGAAAUGUUGAUGAAAUGUUGAUACUUGUCAACUUUUACAACGAUGGUUCUGUGCCAGCAUUCUGAUGAAGUCACAGUGCUUUAAUGCUGUCCCGUGACUGCAGCUCGCUGUGGGUAGGUGCUCUGUCAGCUUGUCACACACAUGCAGUAAGGAGCAUGUGGCCUCUGAACCCAGUUUCACAUCUAAGCAGGUUCAUGUGGUUGGUUCCCAACAAUAAAUAUUUGAGCCAAGAAUGCUUGGAACUCCCACGCUUCAUGGGAGGCUGCAAAAAAUGUGGUAUUUUGUGUUCUGGUUUAGGACAAAGCUGAAUGGAGUUUCAAAUGGGAGAAAAUGGCGAUACUUGAAUGGUCACCCCUGCCCCACCUAAAGUCUGAAACUCUGAUGUGCGACUCGGGUGGCUGCACAAUUCUUCACCAGCCCUGGCUGCUAGGGCCAUCACAGGCUGCUGCUGGGAAUCCCCAGCAAAGGUUCUGAGCUGACGGUAAGCAAGACAGAUGUUGCAGUGUGGAGAGAACCACUUUUUUAUGAGCUGGGAACAGUCUCGACCUGCUAUCCUAAACAGAGAGGACCUGUGUUUUUCCUGCAUGGUUAAUGAAAAGCAAAAUCUGCACGGCAUCCCGGGGGGCGCUGGGGAGGAGCUGAGCUGCAGUGGUGGUCGGAAGAAGGAAACCCAAGUUUCCCAGCCUACUAUGAAAAUGGAGCUAACAGCAGGGAAAGGCAAGAGAUUCCACACAAAUAUGAGACUUACUAGAGACUUGAAUGCUCAGCUGUGUGCGUUAUUUCCUUUGGAUUGGAAGCAGAUUGAAAACUGGAGAAGUGGACAUUCACAUGGUCCAAGAAAUUAAAGAUACAGAUCUACAUUUUUUGGAGACCUUUGAAGAUGUAAAUUGAACAGGAUAAUUUUUAAAGCUCUUCUAAUCAGCAUCACAGCCCUGGUUCGUGCCAUAUGGAGGAGCAGAGGAACAAACUGGAGCUGUGAGACUGAGAUGGGAUGAGUGAUGCACCAAAUGGCCUCAGAGCAGGUCACACUAGUAGAGAUAAGUGCAAAUGAGGAGAUUUAAUGGGCACUGUAAUGUAGAUGGUUAUGACCAUCACAACAGAGCAUGACAGUACCAUCAGGGUGCCUGGAAAAAACUAGAUUUUCUCAUUUAACCAACUGUAUCAUUUUACAGUCAUGUUUUGGAGAUUAACAAUGAACAGAAGAGGCUACUGAUGCAAGUUCUUGAGAGAUGGGGAGUUCACCCUGUGAAAGCUCCAGCUGAAAACAGCAGGGCAGUGUUCAGGCUGUGCAAGCAGGGCCAGCAAUGGGCUUUGAGCAGAGGCAGUUUUAUGAAUGGAUCUGUGGGGGAAACAGUCAGGGUAGAAACGGAGCCAGUCGCCUGCUAAGGUGGUGACUGGAGGCAGGGCUGUGCCAGGAGGUGCCUUUGCAGAACAUCAGCCAUGUAAUGCCUGGCACAGGUAAUGCCUUGGGAACAGUCUCCAAACAUUUCUUAGUGAGCAGUUGGAAUAAAAGCUAAUGUCCCUUCCUGGACAAAGCUUUGCUGGUCCUUUGGAUGGCUGUUGGCCUGAGUGGUGUACAUUGUCCCGGGUGUAGAGCGCUGUGCCCAUGAGGAGGUGGCUUCACACCAGGCUUAAAGCACUCCCCGCUGCGUGAAACACUGUAUGGAUUUGCUUAUUCUAGCAGAGCGUGUGCUGUGACAGGAGGGGUGGGCUGGCUCUGCUUACUCCCCACCCCUGCCAGGGUCACUCUGAAGCAUUUUAUGGUGGAGUAGCCUUUGGGCAGAUGAGAGAGGGGUCUGACCUGCUGAGCAGCCAUGUCAUUGCCAGAUCCUCAGCACGGGGUGUUUGGGAGCUCACAGUGGCAAUAGGAGCAGGACCUCCUGCUCACCUGAAUGUCAGUUCUCUCACUUCCCAUGAUUCAGAGCAGGGCUUAUUCCAGGAUCAGUCCCUGGGCACAGGUAUGGCUCACAAGGUGCUGGGAGCAGGACAGAGCAGAAUUCAGCUCCCUAGGGUCUCCACUGGUGUGCACAAAGAGCAGACAAGGGGAAAGGGCUGUGGCACCAGACACAAAACAAAAGCAGAGAUGAAAAGAAAGUUCUUGGUUUAAAGAAGGCUGUUCAGACUUUAUCUCCACCUUCCUGUGCAUUCAAAGCUGAGCUGUGUUCCCUGCAUAGUCCUAAAAGCUCUUCAAGCCCUGUCUGAGCACAGAAAGAGCCCUGAGUCUGCCACUCUUUUCCGUUUCUCAGUCCUGUUGUUGUGGUUUGAUUUUGGUUUGGUUUUCUCCUUUUUUUAUUUUUUUUCUUUUUGUUGGGAAGAUUAAUCAGAGUGCAAACUGAUGGGCUGAGAAGGGCAGAGCUCUUCCCCUCGUCCCACCUACACCUGCAGUGGAGGUCGAUGCCUCCAACCUGUGUCAUGGCAGGGCUGGCUGCGAAGCUCCCGUUGGGUGACAGCUCUCCUUGGGGCAGCUGCACUUUCACAGCUCUGUAGGUAUCCAAACACUGAUGGGGAUUUCUAAAAAUGGUUUUGACGAUGUAUUUUUACCAUUGCAAGUGCUGUCAACCUUCACUGGGGCCUCUGGGCUGGGCUGCAAAGGAAGCACUAAAAUAGAAAAUAUUUAUGUAAAGAAGUAAAACAUUGUUCCUUCUCUUUUCCGGUAAGUGUAAAUUAAUGGCAGUUCAGCACUGUGCUGAAAUAAGUGGGGUGAGAUUGUGGGAGAGUUAUAUUUAGGCAAAAAUAUGCAACACUUUGUUGCCUUCUCAUUUGCUUUUUAAUCUGAACAAGGCUUCAGCAGGCUCCAAAGAGCACGUGCCCACCACCCUCACUGCCCUGAUCUGCAGCGGGCCGGGAAGAUCCAGUACAUCCUUAGGCAGGUUUUUAAGCAAAUACAAGGAGCCAAAUGUCACCUCCUGUGUCUGUGACUGUAGCCUGGACAAAGGGCUCCAUGGCCUCCAGCAGUGGCCAGCUAGCAAAGGAUAUUUGGGAAGAUCUAGCUCUGCUCCUUUCCCACAGCAGUUAGUAAGUGCUGAUAACCUCACCAGCUUCUGUGGUGAGGAUGUGCGCACAGAGAAACAGCAAUCAUGCUGUAACAGAAGGUGGUCAAGCUUUGGGUUUUUUCUUCCCCAAAUUCAUGCUUGUUUUUGAAAGGGAAGAGAGGGCUGAUCUGUGUUUGAGGGUUUUUCAGAAUCCUCUGCAGUGGCCUAAUCCUGCUGCCACUAAGCUGAGCUGGGGAAGAGUCUGACCGCUGCUGAGGACUUCUGACAGUGGAGUCCAAAACACCCAAGCAAUGCCCCUGCAUGGGCAGGGGCUGGAGACCCCAGCAAUGCUGCUGGUGGCACUUCCAGAGCUGGAAGAAUCAGAGACAGCGCUGGUUCUCUAUGUUACUUUGCAGCAUUAUAUAGAUUUACCUUGGGAAUUUUUUUGCAGUUUACUAUCAAGGAGAUGGAAUAACAUUCCUCAGCUUCAUUGUUGCAUCAGAGUUUAAGCACUGUCCUUAACCAGACACAGAGAGCUGUGUCCUGGGGCUGUGACUGCACCCGGGACCUUCCCACACCACAGCACAGAAUAAUAAUAACCCAACACUGACAAGCUCUAUGUGUUCAGUCAGGAUCAGACCUGCCAUCCUCCAUCCCGAUGCAAUUACUGCAAGUCUGCUAGUGCUGUUUCCAAGCGUAUGUUAAGGCUUGCUAUCAAUUCGAGCAAGUCUUACAUUUGAUUCAAAUUUUCUUCUGAAAUAUUCAACAAAGCCAAAGAAAGACAAAGCCAGAACAGUGAAGCAGAGAUUAAUGCACUUAAACUGGGAAAAAAAUAUAUGCAGGACUCUCUUUAAUUUGCAGUUUAUCUGCAAUUUAAAAGAGUAAACACAGCCAUAGUGAGGAUGCAUAAACACAGUUUGGAGAGCCAUUGAAAUCUAGGUCAAGGUUUCAGCUCUGCCUGGGGAGCUCAUUAUGGGAACCAGGGAGACUGUGCUGCUCCAGGAGCCAGGUGGAAAAUACUUCUCAACUGGUACAAUGAAACCAGGUAGGCUUCUGCACAAUCAACAGCAGCUCCACUGCAGACGUAAGCCAUUGCUGAGCUGAAAUUGCUAAAUUAUUACUCACACCAUUCAGUAACAGGAAAGGAAAUCUUGCUUUUAUUGUUCAGUGGCUUCAGUUUUUACUUGUGUGCCAAGCAGGACCUGAAGCAUUUGCCAGCAGUAACCAACUCACCUUCCAGGUGCUUGGAGGAAAGUAUGGAGCUGUCAAUCUGAUAGUCAUUAACAAAACACACUUUUUUAGGGGGAGGAAAAAAAAACAAAACCACAGCAUUAACUCAUGUUCAUUUGAUUUGCAACCUGAGUAUAUGAAUUUUGCAGAACAUGACUCUGUUCUGAAUUUGAGAUUCAGUCUGUGUUUGUAUUUCAAGCUAGUCUUCCAAGCAAAACAUGUGAAAAGAGAACAUUCAAACAGGAAGGGUUUGAUAUCUUUUUUUUCCCCCCUCAUAAAUUUCUGUAGGUCUUGUUGCUGCUAAUUGCUGGAGACCCAGCACAAGAGCUUUUCUUUCUAGCAAAUCAGAUUCUCAUGUUUCCUGCCCUUCAGUUAAUCAGUUAUAAUCUCCUGUUCUGUUUAUUUAACUUUUAAAAAGCUAAUUGAGUGUUUGUGACAUAAGUCGGCCUGAGACUGCGAAAGCAAAGUUUGUUUGCCUGUACCGGUGGAGCAGAUGGAGGUUGGGCGCUGGUGAUGCCCAUUGCCUGCUGCAUCCCUAGAUGUUCCUCUCCUGAUGCUCAGCCACCACCACCAUGCACAGCCAGUGGGUUCAGCCCCGCUUGCUCCCUGUGUGUUGGCUCCAUCCCCUCAGGCACCUCCAGGAGGAGGUUGUCCCCAGGAGCAGGUUGUCCCCAAGGAGGAGGCUGUCCCCAAGAGGCAGCUGGUCUGGCCGGCAGCCCAGUGCCCGCACAGGCAGGGCAGGGGGCUCCUGGUGACUCGCAGCUGUGCCCAACCGAAGCAAUCACAACUGGCGAGGCUGGAUUGGGACCAAGCAAGGCACGGACGUGUGCGGGAGCCACUGCAAGGCUGGUGCUCUGAUUCUUCUGGAGGGGCUGAAAAAGCAGAUUAGACACUAAAAAAUUGAGGAACUUUAUUGCAACCUCAUCUCUGUUUCUUCUCUGUUAACUGAAGGAACACACUUGUGGCAAGAGUGGUGGUCUUGUGUCCUCUCUUGCUCCACUGUACCCAUAUCCCCUCCAUGGCUCAGACAUGCUCUUUCCUUCUCACUGUGAAUACACAGUGCAGAACAGUGGCUGUGCACCCACAGCUCCUCACUGCCUUGUUCUGUGGAGUCAGAUUUCAGAGGGUGAAAACCAGCAGGUAGGGGUGUCAGAGCUUCUCUGCAGUUCUGUUCCAUCCCUACCUAGAACCCUUGUCUGCGCCUUGAGCACCACGGUGCUCCGCAGUGGCUACUGCUUCCACUUUGCAGCAUCUCUGGUGAGGCUGGGCCUUGUGCUUGCCAGUCAGGUCAGGGUGUUACUAAGGGUCUGUUAGACCUUGUGAGCAAGAUUAGGAGAUGGCUUUUCUCAAAUUUUUUAUUUAAUUGAUAGCAAGUGAGAUUUUUUUUGACCAUGUGUUUUUUUUCAUUGACUAUGCAAGAAUAACUGAUUUUUUUUGUUCUUUUCUCCUUUUAAAAAGGGUCCCCAGAUCACAUCAGACUUUGUCCCCCUAAUAGCUUUCUGUGGCAUCACAUGGCUACAGGCUCAAAGGCUGUGGCCAGUGGAGAAAUCCUCCUGCCUAAGGGGAGGUUCUGAAAGGAUGGGUCUGUUACAAAGUGUCUUAGUCAUGUUCAUGCAUGUGUAUUAUUGCUACAGAGGAGUUUUCUUCUUUUCUGGCAACUAUGUGCUCCUGGGAUUGUACUUUGGCAUCAGAGGAACAAGCUGUAACACAAAGACUCUUCAGAAGGUCCCACUUGAAUUCCUGGUAUGACAAAACUACCAUUUAACCUCAAGCCAUCAAGUACGAGGUACUUUCUGUUUCUGAAGUGAUUUGAGACAUUACACACAGCUCUAUAAAAAUGCAAAAUGGGGCUGCUGUAUUACAUCCCAUAGUUCAGGAGGUUUGAAGGAAUUGGUUCACCGUUUAUCACCGAAAAAGCUCUUCCUUAAAGCCAUGGCUGCUCCAUCUUCCUCUGCUGCAGGCUCUUUAUUUUUGUGCGUAUGACAUUGCAGUUUAUUUCCGUGGCAACAACUAUAAUGUGACAAUUUGCAUCCAUAAUGACUUCACUGUUAUUAGAAAACAUAAAUCUGUGAUGAUAAUUUUGAAAAAAAAGGAUUUGUACCUAGUUGAAAUAGCAAGCUACCAAAAAAAAAAAAAAAAAAAAAGUGAAUUUUUUUAAUAUUAAAUCAUGAGAUAUUGAGCUGAGCAUAUGAUUUUACAC